GCGAUUUUCGGCCACCGCAAAACCUAAGAUGCUCUUCACCAAAUUCGACAUGUUCUUCACCAAGUUCAACCUGUUCUUCACCAAGUUCGACCUUUUCCGUUGCUAGAUUGUUCCUUAACUCCUUUUACAUGUUUUCUUGUUUUGUUCAGUUUGGCUCUUCCAUUUAAGUGUAUUUAAUGGGCGGCAGUCUAGCGUUAGAUGAGCGUACGCUAGGUUUACGAAACGUUGCGCCGCCCAUCCAUUGGCCGAUUGUAUACCCAAUCACCUCUUUAGUUCAUUCCUGGUCUCCCAUAAGCCGUGUUAUGUUAACUAUGCAGACGGCAUGGCGAGAACCAGAACAGACGGAAGAUCCAACUCCCUUGCGUUUGCGGGAUAGGGCGGCAAAAGCCUCCUACUGAAAGAUAUUCUUCUACCAACCCGGCAAUAGACAAAGAAUAUGCCGACCUCUUCCAAGAGAUAGACGAGUAUGCCGAGUCCGAAAAGGAGCAGACGGCGAGUUCGUCGGAACGCACGGGAGUGAACAAGAGUAUCUUAGCAGGUCGAGCAGUUGCUAAGGAGUUGGUUGUGGUCCCGGUGUCGUUGGUUGUUGAAGAGCCCGUGGCGGCCCAGGCGCCGGCUAGGCCAGGUGGCCGGGAAGAGGCUCAUCUUCUUGCUUCGGAGAUUCAUCCGGAUCACGGAUGGAUGAAAUGGCUGGACAAAAAUGGGGCAGACCUAAGAGACGGCCUUUGCGUGGGUAAAGGCUAUGAGAUGAGAGUGCCGGCAGGCUUGGAGGCGACGGUCAGCGUUUUGGUGGACGGGGAGUUUCCAGUGUAUGCCGCUGCCAUUAAGUCGGGCAUGAGAUUUCCUCCACAUCCUUUUGUUGUGGAGGUCCUGGAUGGUUUCAACAUUGCGGUGGCCCAAUUAACCCCAAAUCCUGGGCAGACGUAUUUGGCUAUAUUGCCAAAUGUGCGCUGAAGAAUGUGCAGCCGUCUUUUAAUGCAUUUCUUCAUCUGGUCUCUAUUUCCCGUUCUCCCGAUGCCGCCGAGGGAUGGUUCAAUCUGAGCAGCCGAGGCACCUAUCAGACAGUGGUAGGCAAACUCACCAAGUGGCACAAAUGGAGGAAGAGAUGGGUCGUCUUUCACACCGACGACCAGGACAUGUACUAUAGGAUGAGCCAUUGGAGCCCUACGGCUAAUUAUAUGGAACACGAUGAGGCUCUCCUUCCUCUGACGGCAGCAAAGUGAGACCAAAUAAAGUUAAUGUUUAAAACGAAUACCUACCGGCUUACUGCUGAUAAGUCUUUUCAUGUGCCGACUCAAUGGUUGCCGCACAUAAGCCAAUAACGGGAUGCGGCAUUCUUAGCUGUCGUUGGCUUAGGGUACUUUAUGACCAAAGAGGAAGGCAUGAGUAAGCUGAAGGAUGCCGAUAUAGGCGAGGGAGAUGUGACAGAUUGGAUGGCCGACAUUUAUGAGGCCAAGAUGAAGAAAGCUAAGGCCGAGUUGGAGGAGAAGCAAGCAAAGUAAGCAAAGCUUAUUUGGGUACUUUUUGGGGAAGGCUCAUUAGGUGAUGGUCGUGUACUCACAAUUGGAACGGAAGCUUAUUUGGGUUCGGUGGCUCGUUGUGUGUGUAUAGUGUCUUGUAUUGACUCCGUUUAAUGGUCCGUUUGACCAAAGAUGCACGCUACACAUAAUCUGACAGCAGCAAGUUUAUUGCUUUUGUUUCUUAUGUUUUAUUUAACUUAAUAACGGGAUAAUAGGUUAAAUACUCCAUUUAGUUAAUUCCUUUAAUUAGCUUUAUUUUCUGCAUUUAGAGGGGCUUUUGAAUCAGUUUGUAAAUGCCAAUUUUGGCUGAUUGAGUGAGGCUUUUAAAGCCUUGUAACCACCAGCUUUUAAACCCUUUAAAUGGCUUUUAAAUUGCUGUUUAAUAGAGGCUUAUUAGCUGCUUGUAACAGCCAUCUUUGGCUGCUUUGUUUGGCUAUAUAUAGCCAGUUUUAUAAUGAGAAUAAUCAUCCA